rnacentral:rRNA from 1 species
CCCGUCUAGAAACACGGACCAAGGAGUCUGACGCGUGUGCGAGUACUAGAGUGGCAAGCUCGAGUGCGCAAUGAAAGUGAAGGGCGUGCCCCGUCAACCGAUCUUGAUCUUCUGUGAAGGGUUUGAGUGGAGCACAUCUGUCGGGACCCGAAAGAUGGUGAACUAUGCCUGAGGAGGGUGAAGCCAGAGGAAACUCUGGUGGAGGCUCGUAGCGAUACUGACGUGCAAAUCGUUCGUCGAACUUGGGUAUAGGGGCGAAAGACUAAUCGAACCAUCUAGUAGCUGGUUCCCUCCGAAGUUUCCCUCAGGAUAGCUUGAACGCCGACGGUUUUGUCAGGUAAAGCGAAUGAUUAGAGGCCUUGGGGCUGAAACAGCCUUAACCUAUUCUCAAACUUUAAAUGGGCAAGAGGCGCCGGAUGCUUGACUGAUCCGGCGCG